CCCGAGACUCAGUGAAAUUGAACUCGCUGUGAAGAUGCAGUGUACCCGCGGCAAGACGGAAAGACCCCGUGAACCUUUACUAUAGCUUGACACUGAACAUUGAGCCUUGAUGUGUAGGAUAGGUGGGAGGCUUUGAAGCGUGGACGCCAGUCUGCGUGGAGCCAACCUUGAAAUACCACCCUUUAAUGUUUGAUGUUCUAACGUUGGCCCCUGACCGGGGUUGCGGACAGUGUCUGG
rnacentral:rRNA from 1 species